AGAGUUUGAUCCUGGCUCAGGAUGAACGCUGGCUGCGUGCCUAACACAUGCAAGUCGAGCGAGAUUUAGUGGAGUGGAGACUUCGGUCAAAGUGAAGCUAAUGAAAGCGGCGGACGGGUGAGUAACGCGUGGGCAACCUGCCCCAUACAAAGGGAUAGCCACUGGAAACGGUGAUUAAUACCUUAUAAGUCGGUAGUCUCGCAUGAGACAGCCGACAAAGAUUUAUCGGUAUGGGAUGGGCCCGCGUUUGAUUAGCUAGUUGGUGAGGUAACGGCUCACCAAGGCGACGAUCAAUAGCCGACCUGAGAGGGUGAUCGGCCACACUGGAACUGAGACACGGUCCAGACUCCUACGGGAGGCAGCAGUGGGGAAUAUUGCACAAUGGGCGCAAGCCUGAUGCAGCAACGCCGCGUGAGUGAUGAAGGCCUUCGGGUCGUAAAACUCUGUCCUAUGGGAAGAAAAAAAUGACGGUACCUUCAGAGGAAGCACCGGCUAACUCCGUGCCAGCAGCCGCGGUAAUACGGAGGGUGCGAGCGUUAAUCGGAAUUACUGGGCGUAAAGGGCGCGUAGGCGGCCGAUCAAGUCAGAUGUGAAAGCCCACGGCUCAACCGUGGAAGUGCAUCUGAAACUGUUUGGCUUGAGUAUCGGAGGGGAAUGUGGAAUUCCUGGUGUAGAGGUGAAAUUCGUAGAGAUCAGGAGGAACACCGGUGGCGAAGGCGACAUUCUGGACGAAUACUGACGCUGAGGCGCGAAAGCGUGGGGAGCAAACAGGAUUAGAUACCCUGGUAGUCC
rnacentral:rRNA from 1 species